UACGUAGGGGGCAAGCGUUGUCCGGAGUUACUGGGCGUAAAGCGCACGCAGGCGGUCUGCUAAGUUUGGAGUGACAGUUGGUGGCUCAACCACCAAAGUGCUUUGAAAACUGACAGACUUGAGGGCUUCAGAGGGACACGGAAUUCCGGGUGGAGUGGUGAAAUGCGUAGAGAUCCGGAGGAACACCGAAGGCGAAGGCAGUGUCCUGGGGAGUACCUGACGCUCGAGGUGCGAAAGCUAGGGGAGCGAACGGG
rnacentral:rRNA from 1 species